rnacentral:rRNA from 1 species
GUGGGGAAUUUUGGACAAUGGGCGCAAGCCUGAUCCAGCAAUGCCGCGUGCAGGAAGAAGGCCUUCGGGUUGUAAACUGCUUUUGUACGGAACGAAACGGUCCGGGUUAAUACCCUGGGCUAAUGACGGUACCGUAAGAAUAAGCACCGGCUAACUACGUGCCAGCAGCCGCGGUAAUACGUAGGGUGCAAGUGUUAAUCGGAAUUACUGGGCGUAAAGCGUGCGCAGGCGGUUUUGUAAGACAGGCGUGAAAUCCCCGGGCUCAACCUGGGAGUUGCGCUUGUGACUGCAAGGCUGGAGUGCGGCAGAGGGGGAUGGAAUUCCGCGUGUAGCAGUGAAAUGCGUAGAUAUGCGGAGGAACACCGAUGGCGAAGGCAAUCCCCUGGGCCUGCACUGACGCUCAUGCACGAAAGCGUGGGGAGCAAACAGGAUUAGAUACCCGAGUAGUCC